ensembl:snRNA U6 U6 spliceosomal RNA
GUGCUUGCUUCAGCAGCACAUAUACUAAAAUUGCAAUGACACAGACAAGAUUAGCGUAGUCCCUGCACAAGGAUGACAUUUAAAUUUGUGAAACUUUCCAUAUUUUG